UUUCAUGCAUUUGUUGCUUACCUUAUUUAUGAUCAUGUUUAAUUUCGGGUGGUAUGAACUUAUACUUAGUUAAUUGCUAAUAAAACUUGACCAACUUAAUUAAAAGCGAAUGCUAAUUAUGCCUUAGCCAUACCUUGAAUUAGCCUUACACUACACUACUUCCCACGACUUGUUGAGUACCAACCAUAAGUGUACUCACCCUUGCAAAACCACUGUUCAGACCAAGUUAAUUGGGAAGAGGAGUAUCUACACGACUUUGAGGAGUUCUAGGCGUACGUUUCUUCAGUCAGCUGCCUGUGGAGUCGUCGUCAUCUUUGGAGUUCCGCUGCGUAAUAAUUAGACUUUGUGGUUUAUUUGAGACAUUCGGUCAUCUAAUAUGGUUAAUACUCUCUUUAUUCGAUUUAGCACUGUCUUUGUUAUUCACUAUUGUCGUACAUGUGUGUAACUUGAUCCUGGCGCACAUGUAUUUAAUGCACUCGAUUUUGUCCUUAAAAUCGGGUGUGACACAUCCUUUGCCUUCAGUAUCUAUGAUUUUCAGCCAUCGACGAUGACCCAUAUAGCACAACGUUUUACCAUUCUUUAGGUGAAAUGAUUUUGUCACUAGACAACAAGAAGGACAUGCAUAUGUACCACCUGUGCUCCAUCCAUAUAGGUAUGCUAAUGCUAGAAAAUCAUUUAUAGUCCACAAUAGUGCAGCUCAGAGAGGGAAUUCCUUUUUCGAAGAGCCAUCAAAUGUUUCAACUCCAUCC
rnacentral:lncRNA from 1 species